rnacentral:rRNA from 1 species
UACGUAGGUGGCAAGCGUUGUCCGGAUUUACUGGGCGUAAAGAGCGCGCAGGCGGCCGGAUCAGUCGAAUGUGAAAGCCCCCGGCUCAACUGGGGAGGGUCAUUCGAUACUGUCCGACUCGAAGGCAGGAGAGGGAAGCGGAAUUCCCGGUGUAGUGGUGAAAUGCGUAGAUAUCGGGAGGAACACCAGUGGCGAAGGCGGCUUUCUGGCCUGUUCUUGACGCUGAGGCGCGAAAGCUAGGGGAGCGAACGGG